rnacentral:rRNA from 1 species
AACCGGGCACUACGGUGAGACGUGAAAACACCCGAUCCCAUUCCGACCUCGAUAUGUGGAAUCGUCUUGCGCCAUAUGUACUGAAAUUGUUCGGGAGACAU